GCCAGGCGUAGUGGCGGGCGCCUAUAAUCCCAGCUACAUGGGAGGCUGAGGCAGGAGAAUCGCUUGAACCCAGGAGGCAGAGGUUGCAGUGAGCCGAGAUCAUGCCACUGCACUCCAGCCUGGGUGACAGAGUGAGACUCUGUCUCAA
rnacentral:SRP_RNA from 2 species